UAGGGAAUCUUCCGCAAUGGACGCAAGUCUGACGGAGCAACGCCGCGUGAGUGAAGAAGGAUUUCGGUUCGUAAAACUCUGUUGUUAGAGAAGAACAGCGCAUAGAGUAACUGUUAUGCGUGUGACGGUAUCUAACCAGAAAGCCACGGCUAACUACGUGCCAGCAGCUGCGGUAAUACGUAGGUGGCAAGCGUUGUCCGGAUUUAUUGGGCGUAAAGCGAGCGCAGGCGGUCAAUUAAGUCUGAUGUGAAAGCCCCCGGCUCAACCGGGGAGGGGCAUUGGAAACUGGUUGACUUGAGUGCAGAAGAUGAGAGUGGAAUUCCAUUUGUAGCGGUGAAAUGCGUAGAUAUAUGGAGGAACACCAGUGGCUAAGGCGACUCUCUGGUCUGUAACUUACGCUGAGGCUCGAAAGCGUGGGUAGCAAACAGG
rnacentral:rRNA from 1 species